rnacentral:rRNA from 1 species
CCUACGGGAGGCAGCAGUGGGGAAUAUUGCACAAUGGGGGAAACCCUGAUGCAGCGACGCCGCGUGAGUGAAGAAGUAUUUCGGUAUGUAAAGCUCUAUCAGCAGGAACGAGACAAGACGGUACCUGACUAAGAAGCCCCGGCUAACUACGUGCCAGCAGCCGCGGUAAUACGUAGGGGGCAAGCGUUAUCCGGAUUUACUGGGUGUAAAGGGAGCGUAGGCGGCGAUGCAAGUCAGAAGUGAAAGCCCGGGGCUCAACUCCGGGACUGCUUUUGAAACUGUGUUGCUAGAUUGCAGGAGAGGUAAGUGGAAUUCCUAGUGUAGCGGUGAAAUGCGUAGAUAUUAGGAGGAACACCAGUGGCGAAGGCGGCUUACUGGACUGUAAAUGACGCUGAGGCUCGAAAGCGUGGGGAGCAAACAGGAUUAGAUACCCGGGUAGUC